UUACAGCCAUACCAUAUUGAAACACCAGUUCCCAUACAAUCACUGAAGUUAAGUAACAUCGUGCCUGGUCAGUAUCUAGAUGGGUGACUGCUUG
rnacentral:rRNA from 1 species